UUCGGCGGGAAACGGGAACGGGACAGUUGCUUUCUUCAUUGAGUAAUCUAAAUAAUUAAUACGUAGUGGUGUUUUGUGGUUAAUGAUCGCAUUAAGUUAGUCGGAAGACAUUCGCGAGUGUUAUUAUAUUGGAGUAUUCAAUAAACAAAGUGUAUCUGCCUAUUUUCGCUUCGUACCGGGAAGCCGCUUCAUAACUCAAAAGUUUAUGCGGACUUUUGAGUUAAUUCGUUUGGGGUUCGGAGUAGGAGUCUACUCCGAGGGUGGGGGCUUAGGUUUCAUCAUCAUCAUCUUUCAUCAUUUCAUCAAUCAUCAAGAAAAAAAAUACGUAAGACAUGGCUACAUGGCUGUAUGGGCAUAGUUCCCGUUGCCUUACCCUUCGGGGAAAACCAAAACAAAAAAAAUAAUUAUGUAUGACAUUUACUUUUUUUAUAAUUUUUAUGUAAAGGUCUGAACUUAUUAUGCCUUCCUCUUCUGACCUCGUGGAUUUUUCAAUAUAUUUCUAUUAUUACUGAAUUAAAAAAUCUGAAAAAAUGUGUUUUGUGUAAAUCAUAGAAAUAUCUCGAAAUGGUUUUCGAUUUAAGGCACCUUAGUAAAAAUGAAAUGUUGUCAAUUAUAAAAACUACUCCAUAUUUAUAUACAAUGCAAUGUGUAGACAACACCUAACUGGUAAGCAUAUUUUGUAACUAAUGUGUAAAUAUUUAUCAGUGAUGCGUUUACUUACUUAUAAGCGACUUUUCUAAAAGAAAAUAAACGUUUUACGACUUAAUAAGUUUAUUAAA